GUGGUAUAUGUCCUGUCAGGUGGUUGAAGCUGAAAUUGACUGAAAGAAGGACUUUCAAAUGACCGAUAUCGAGGGGUAACUCGAAGACACUUGGAUCGAGAUGGGCUUCCGCCGUUUCUGACUUCAGCAUAUGCAUAUCCAUCAGUGCUGUUGGAAUUUCCCCGGUAUUUUUCCCGACAAUGAGCAGUCUCCCAUACCAAGAACACGGAGAUUCUGAAAACCAUCAAGUGUCUCAUCCUCUGGCAUGAGCUCUCCUCUGAAAUUUUCCCCGAGAAGCAGGGUGGUUAGAGAAAUCGACCUCGGGGAGCCCUCCACUGAAUUUGUUGCUCGAGAGGACAAUUACUACAAGGAAAGAGAAGCCGGGCGGGCAUCCCAGAAAGAAAAGAAACAGUUGGUGAAGAAGUGAAGAUUUUGCAAAGAUUCUACGGGCGAGAUAACACGCCACGCCGGGAUUGGAAGAUGGUGCCGAAAGGCGGUCGCGAUGGAGAGCAAUCAUGGUGGUCUCAGUCAGUUGUGUAGACAAAGGCCAAGUGGAGGGCCUAGGUGUAGGUGUAGGAGUAGGAAGGGAGGCGCAGUUUCCUGGCUUGAUGCAUGGCUUAAUGGACGGGGUGGUUGAUUGAUCCGUGCGGUCUCCUUGUUGACCUGGGGGGCGUUUACUUGCCCUUGUCACGCUCACGCGUGCGUGCGAGCUUCGUCUGAUGUUUACGUUUGCUUUCUUUUUCCAAUCUCCCGGCUCCACUGGCGCACUAUUAUUGCGGACCAUGGACUGUGACGCUUUGUGGCUGUCAUCUGAAAUCUCAAGCGGUUCAAGUAACUUUGGGGUAGCGUGUGAGGGCUGUCAAUGGUGAUGCUAAGUACAGUUUUGUAUCUUCUACUCCUACUAGUAGAAUGCCCAUACGGUUGUUACGAGAUUGUAUAACAAUAUCGUUCUAGUUCUAUUAUUUUGUUUACUUUGUUUCA